GGGUUGUGAGGUUAAGCGACUAAGCGUACACGGUGGAUGCCCUGGCAGUCAGAGGCGAUGAAGGACGUGCUAAUCUGCGAUAAGCGUCGGUAAGGUGAUAUGAACCGUUAUAACCGGCGAUUUCCGAAUGGGGAAACCCAGUGUGUUUCGACACACUAUCAUUAACUGAAUCCAUAGGUUAAUGAGGCGAACCGGGGGAACUGAAACAUCUAAGUACCCCGAGGAAAAGAAAUCAACCGAGAUUCCCCCAGUAGCGGCGAGCGAACGGGGAGGAGCCCAGAGCCUGAAUCAGUGUGUGUGUUAGUGGAAGCGUCUGGAAAGGCGCGCGAUACAGGGUGACAGCCCCGUACACAAAAAUGCACAUGCUGUGAGCUCGAUGAGUAGGGCGGGACACGUGGUAUCCUGUCUGAAUAUGGGGGGACCAUCCUCCAAGGCUAAAUACUCCUGACUGACCGAUAGUGAACCAGUACCGUGAGGGAAAGGCGAAAAGAACCCCGGCGAGGGGAGUGAAAAAGAACCUGAAACCGUGUACGUACAAGCAGUGGGAGCACGCUUAGGCGUGUGACUGCGUACCUUUUGUAUAAUGGGUCAGCGACUUAUAUUCUGUAGCAAGGUUAACCGAAUAGGGGAGCCGAAGGGAAACCGAGUCUUAACUGGGCGUUAAGUUGCAGGGUAUAGACCCGAAACCCGGUGAUCUAGCCAUGGGCAGGUUGAAGGUUGGGUAACACUAACUGGAGGACCGAACCGACUAAUGUUGAAAAAUUAGCGGAUGACUUGUGGCUGGGGGUGAAAGGCCAAUCAAACCGGGAGAUAGCUGGUUCUCCCCGAAAGCUAUUUAGGUAGCGCCUCGUGAAUUCAUCUCCGGGGGUAGAGCACUGUUUCGGCAAGGGGGUCAUCCCGACUUACCAACCCGAUGCAAACUGCGAAUACCGGAGAAUGUUAUCACGGGAGACACACGGCGGGUGCUAACGUCCGUCGUGAAGAGGGAAACAACCCAGACCGCCAGCUAAGGUCCCAAAGUCAUGGUUAAGUGGGAAACGAUGUGGGAAGGCCCAGACAGCCAGGAUGUUGGCUUAGAAGCAGCCAUCAUUUAAAGAAAGCGUAAUAGCUCACUGGUCGAGUCGGCCUGCGCGGAAGAUGUAACGGGGCUAAACCAUGCACCGAAGCUGCGGCAGCGACGCUUAUGCGUUGUUGGGUAGGGGAGCGUUCUGUAAGCCUGUGAAGGUGUACUGUGAGGUAUGCUGGAGGUAUCAGAAGUGCGAAUGCUGACAUAAGUAACGAUAAAGCGGGUGAAAAGCCCGCUCGCCGGAAGACCAAGGGUUCCUGUCCAACGUUAAUCGGGGCAGGGUGAGUCGACCCCUAAGGCGAGGCCGAAAGGCGUAGUCGAUGGGAAACAGGUUAAUAUUCCUGUACUUGGUGUUACUGCGAAGGGGGGACGGAGAAGGCUAUGUUGGCCGGGCGACGGUUGUCCCGGUUUAAGCGUGUAGGCUGGUUUUCCAGGUAAAUCCGGAAAAUCAAGGCUGAGGCGUGAUGACGAGGCACUACGGUGCUGAAGCAACAAAUGCCCUGCUUCCAGGAAAAGCCUCUAAGCAUCAGGUAACAUCAAAUCGUACCCCAAACCGACACAGGUGGUCAGGUAGAGAAUACCAAGGCGCUUGAGAGAACUCGGGUGAAGGAACUAGGCAAAAUGGUGCCGUAACUUCGGGAGAAGGCACGCUGAUAUGUAGGUGAAGCGACUUGCUCGUGGAGCUGAAAUCAGUCGAAGAUACCAGCUGGCUGCAACUGUUUAUUAAAAACACAGCACUGUGCAAACACGAAAGUGGACGUAUACGGUGUGACGCCUGCCCGGUGCCGGAAGGUUAAUUGAUGGGGUUAGCGCAAGCGAAGCUCUUGAUCGAAGCCCCGGUAAACGGCGGCCGUAACUAUAACGGUCCUAAGGUAGCGAAAUUCCUUGUCGGGUAAGUUCCGACCUGCACGAAUGGCGUAAUGAUGGCCAGGCUGUCUCCACCCGAGACUCAGUGAAAUUGAACUCGCUGUGAAGAUGCAGUGUACCCGCGGCAAGACGGAAAGACCCCGUGAACCUUUACUAUAGCUUGACACUGAACAUUGAGCCUUGAUGUGUAGGAUAGGUGGGAGGCUUUGAAGUGUGGACGCCAGUCUGCAUGGAGCCGACCUUGAAAUACCACCCUUUAAUGUUUGAUGUUCUAACGUUGACCCGUGAUCCGGGUUGCGGACAGUGUCUGGUGGGUAGUUUGACUGGGGCGGUCUCCUCCUAAAGAGUAACGGAGGAGCACGAAGGUUGGCUAAUCCUGGUCGGACAUCAGGAGGUUAGUGCAAUGGCAUAAGCCAGCUUAACUGCGAGCGUGACGGCGCGAGCAGGUGCGAAAGCAGGUCAUAGUGAUCCGGUGGUUCUGAAUGGAAGGGCCAUCGCUCAACGGAUAAAAGGUACUCCGGGGAUAACAGGCUGAUACCGCCCAAGAGUUCAUAUCGACGGCGGUGUUUGGCACCUCGAUGUCGGCUCAUCACAUCCUGGGGCUGAAGUAGGUCCCAAGGGUAUGGCUGUUCGCCAUUUAAAGUGGUACGCGAGCUGGGUUUAGAACGUCGUGAGACAGUUCGGUCCCUAUCUGCCGUGGGCGCUGGAGAACUGAGGGGGGCUGCUCCUAGUACGAGAGGACCGGAGUGGACGCAUCACUGGUGUUCGGGUUGUCAUGCCAAUGGCACUGCCCGGUAGCUAAAUGCGGAAGAGAUAAGUGCUGAAAGCAUCUAAGCACGAAACUUGCCCCGAGAUGAGUUCUCCCUGACUCCUUGAGAGUCCUGAAGGAACGUUGAAGACGACGACGUUGAUAGGCCGGGUGUGUAAGCGCAGCGAUGCGUUGAGCUAACCGGUACUAAUGAACCGUGAGGCUUAACCUUACAACGCCGAAGGUGUUU
rnacentral:rRNA from 1 species